UACGUAGGGUGCAAGCGUUAAUCGGAAUUACUGGGCGUAAAGCGUGCGCAGGCGGUGAUGUAAGACAGAUGUGAAAUCCCCGGGCUUAACCUGGGAACUGCAUUUGUGACUGCAUCGCUGGAGUGCGGCAGAGGGGGAUGGAAUUCCGCGUGUAGCAGUGAAAUGCGUAGAGAUGCGGAGGAACACCGAUGGCGAAGGCAGCCCCCCUGGGCUAACACUGACGCUCAUGCACGAAAGCGUGGGGGAGCAAACAGG
rnacentral:rRNA from 1 species